rnacentral:rRNA from 1 species
AACGAACGUUUGCGGCGGGCUUAACACAUGCAAGUCGAACGAGAAUCCCUUCGGGGAGGAAAGUGGCGCACGGGUGCGUAACACGUGGAUAACCUACCCAUUGGUUGGGGACAACACCGGGAAACUGGUGCUAAUACCCGAUGUGUCGUAGUGGUCGCAAGGCUGCUACGAGAAAGGCCCGCAAGGGUCGCCAGCGGACGGGUCCGCGUCCCAUCAGCUAGUUGGUGAGGUAAUGGCUCACCAAGGCGAAGACGGGUAGCUGGUCUGAGAGGAUGAUCAGCCACACUGGAACUGAGACACGGUCCAGACUCCUACGGGAGGCAGCAGUGGGGAAUAUUGCGCAAUAGGGCGGAAAGGACCGUGACGCAGCCACGCCGCCGU